CAGCCGCCACGGGAAUACGUAGGUGGCAAGCGCUGUCCGGAAUUAUUGGGCGUAAAGGGCUCGCAGGCGGUUUCUUAAGUCUGAUGUGAAAGCCCCCGGCUCAACCGGGGAGGGUCAUUGGAAACUGGGAAACUUGAGUGCAGAAGAGGAGAGUGGAAUUCCACGUGUAGCGGUGAAAUGCGUAGAGAUGUGGAGGAACACCAGUGGCGAAGGCGACUCUCUGGUCUGUAACUGACGCUGAGGAGCGAAAGCGUGGGGAGCGAACAGGAUUAGAUACCCCGGUAGUCCCUGUCUCUUAUAC
rnacentral:rRNA from 1 species